CCCUAAAAAACUCUCUCUCUCUCUCUCUGCCUAAAAAAAACCCAAAUUCUCCAACCCCUCCUCCUCCAUCGAGCUCAAAAAAUCCCUGGAUCCCUCUCUCGUUCGAUCUCUCUCUCUCUCGAGCUCCCCCAACUCCGCCGACUUCCGCCGACGUUCCCCAACUCUGCCGACAAACGACUUCCAGGAUCUCCGCUGCUUGAUCUCCCUCGAGCUCUCUCUCGAGCUCCCCCAACUCCGCCGUCGGCUCUCGAUCUCCCCUAACUCCGUCGAUGGCUCUCGAUCUCCCCCAACUCCGACUUCCCCCAACUCCACCGACGGCCCCCAACUCCGCCGACCUCUCUCGAUCUCCCUCAAGCCCCAAAAAUAGGGAAUCGGCGCUGCAGUGGAAAGUACCCCCACGCUCGAAAAAUCGGGCAACAGCAAAUGCAAGGUCUUCAACUGGUCUGUAUGGCACUGCACCACCAAAAGAAAGAAACCUGGAAAAGGAAGGUGAGAUGUCAAAUACAACGGGAACAGUAAAAGUUGUAUGUACACUGUGUCCUCACAGAAUGUCAGCGUCAAAGUCCAAAAUCAAGGGAGCUCGGUUACAAGACGCCCGGCCUAUAUUACAAUUUAGUCACAUUUCAUCUUCCAUGGAGGACCAAUAUACAAUUAAUGCGCCCUGAAUGCUUAGGAUAGGGCCGCGAUUGUGUGCGUGCAUCCACACACGGAAGCAUGUUGGUGUGUGAGUAUCUGGCAGUAACAUGUGUGCAAAAAUGCAAAUGUAUAACUUACCGUGACAUCCAAUGUCUGAGUUUGAAUAUUCCUUCAUUUCCAUCAUCCGAUCAAAAGAGAGCUAAGAUGAUGCUUACUAUAUUUUUUUUCUGUAAGGAACAAAUAUUUGUAGCUCUGUUGGUUGUAUCUGAAAUGUAUCACUAUCUCCUAUUUGUUUUGUUAGAGGAAUCUUCUUUUUGUAAC